rnacentral:rRNA from 1 species
AGUGAACGCUGGCGGUAGGCCUAACACAUGCAAGUCGAACGGCAGCACAGUAAGAGCUUGCUCUUACGGGUGGCGAGUGGCGGACGGGUGAGGAAUACAUCGGAAUCUACUUUUUCGUGGGGGAUAACGUAGGGAAACUUACUCUAAUACCGCAUACGACCUACGGGUGAAAGCAGGGGAUCUUCUGACCUUGCGCGAUUGAAUUAGCCGAUGUCGGAUUAGCUAGUUGGCGGGGUAAAGGCCCACCAAGGCGACGAUCCGUAGCUGGUCUGAGAGGAUGAUCAGCCACACUGGAAGUGAGACACGGUCCAGACUACUACGGGAGGCAGCAGUGGGGAAUAUUGGACAAUGGGCGCAAGCCUGAUCCAGCCAUACCGCGUGGGUGACGAAGGCCUUCGGGUUGUAAAGCCCUUUUGUUGGGAAAGAAAAGCAGCAGGUUAAUACCCCGCUGUUCUGACGGUAACCAAAGAAUAAGCACCGGCUAACUUCGUG